rnacentral:rRNA from 1 species
UAAGAGGUCCCGCCUGCCCUGUGACAUUAGUUUAACGGCCGCGGUAUUUUGACCGUGCGAAGGUAGCGCAAUCACUUGUCUUUUAAAUGUAGACCUGUAUGAAUGGCAAAACGAGGGCUUAACUGUCUCCUUUAUCAAGUCAAUGAAAUUGAUCUCCCCGUGCAGAAGCGGGGAUAAAGCCAUAAGACGAGAAGACCCUAUGGAGCUUUAGACAAUAAGACAGUCCAUGUUAAAACCCCUAUCAGAAAAAAGGCUAAACAUAGUGGGCCCUGUCCUAAUGUCUUUGGUUGGGGCGACCGCGGAGAAACAAAUAACCUCCAUGUGGAAUAGUAACACAGUUAUUUCAACCAAGAGCUGCAGCUCUAAUAAACAGAAUUUCUGACCAAAAAGAUCCGGCAACGCCGAUCAACGGACCGAGUUACCCUAGGGAUAACAGCGCAAUCCCCUUUUAGAGCCCAUAUCGACAAGGGGGUUUACGACCUCGAUGUUGGAUCAGGACAUCCUAAUGGCGCAGCCACUAUUAAGGGUUCGUUUGUUCAACG